UGGUCAAAUGAAAGAGGUGCAUCAUAGUACUCCAAAGUGGUGUCUGUCGACCGAAAAGACGUCUGACUAGCGUCAAAGCUUAAGAUUAACUGAGCUUGCGUUGUAUCAUGCGGUUUGCUUGAUAUUUCAGCUUUGUGGAUCGGAGAUAAUUCCCUCAGAGAACAUCUCAACUGCGGUGAUGGAAUACCACCUUCAGGAGGCAUGAACUUCACGCGGGGCGGCUCCGCUUCCUCAUCUUCGUCAAGUUGUGCAGACCAUGACUUGCGUGUGUGGGAUAUGUCGAUUCCUUUGAAGACUCGCUAAAGGUGAUCCUGCUUUCUUUGCCCCGGAGUGGAGGGGUGACGGAUCGGCCAGGAGAUGCGGAAGGAGUAGCCAAGGGAUUUGGCCUCGGAGUACUGCGGAGGAUGGACUGAGGGGCAAAGUCUGAGAAAGCGGCGCUAGAAGCAGUCAUGGCACGAGCACGCUGAAAGGACAAGAACAACAAUGAGCCCAAGAGGGCCUGGGAGGACUGAGAACCGAUUGAGGGCUUUGAACCACCACGUCCAUGAGCCUAUGUCACAUGAAAGCGGAGUCCUGGUGCAUCUAUAGCCAGUCCGACCUGGGAGUGGAUCUCUCCUGAUUGAGUUUUUCCUUGCCGCCAGUGAGGGUCUAAGGAUGGGGAUGCCCAGGUCAUGGACUCAUUCAUCUACUAUAUCUGGCAGUAUCAAAAUGACUGUAAAGCCCUCUGAGACAAACUUGUUGUGAUAUAGGGCUAUACAAAUAAAAUUGAAUUGAAUUUUGUAAAGCAAAAUACUGCAACAUUUUUUCUUUUGGUAAAGGAAGUUAUAUUUUUUUCAGUUAGGAAUACAGUGAUACCUCAACAUACGAUCGCUUCGACACAUGCUCGAAAUAAAAAUGUCAGCGCCGCAGUUUCUUUGUUUUCCCGCAAGACGGACGCACGCGGAUUUUCUUGUGAGAGAAAUCAACAUGGGUUCCAACAAUGUUAGUGGAGGUGGUGAAAAAAACAAUAAGGUGAGGCUUACCAUUGAAAUGAAGAUGGAAAUGAUGAAAAAAUAAGCGUGGGGUGCGCAUCCGUUAACUGUCUCAACAAUACUGCCACUAGACAGUCUAUGAUCUCGGCGGUCCUCCUCCGUUCACCAGACUUUAUAAGGUGACAAUUAUUAUUCUAACUAGAGCCGUCCCGACUAGUCGACAUCAUCGAUGACGUAAAUGCGUGAUUUCAAACUUCUGUUUUAAAUUCUAUCAAUGGCCAGGCUCUUUAUUUAUUGGAAAUGUUAACCCUCCGCAACUCUGGCAGGACUCUUCGUUCUACCGGCCAGCGUCUUUUGCAAGUUCCGAGAUUGAAACUUAAACAAUGGGGGGACCGAUCUUUUGCGGUUGCUGCCCCCAGGUUCUGGAAUAGCCUUCCUCCUGAAAUUCGCACCACUACGAAUCUAGGCCUUUUUAAGUCUCAGUUAAAGACACACAUUUUUAGACUCUCCUUUUACCCAGAUUAGGGUGGCCUGGUUUUAUUUCUUAAGGGUAUUUAAUGUUUUGGGAUUUUAUCAGUUUUAUUUGCUUUCUGA